AGCGAACGCUGGCGGCAGGCUUAACACAUGCAAGUCGAACGCAUCACUUCGGUGUUGAGUGGCAGACGGGUGCGUAACACGUGGGAACGUACCCUUCGAUCUGGGAUAACUUCGGGAAACUGGAGCUAAUACCGGAUACGCCCUUUUGGGGAAAGGUUUACUGUCGAGGGAUCGGCUCGCGUCUGAUUAGCUAGUUGGUGGGGUAACGGCCUACCAAGGCGACGUUCAGUAGCUGGUCUGAGAGGAUGAUCAGCCACGCUGGGACUGAGACACGGCCCAGACUCGUACGGAAGGCAGCAGUAGGGAAUAUUGGACGAUGAGCGCAAGCCUGACCCAGCCAUGCCGCGUGAGUGAUGAAGGCCUUAGUGUUGUAAAGCUCUUUUGUCCGGGACGAUAAUGACGGUACCGGAAGAAUAAGCCCCGGCUAACUUCGUG
rnacentral:rRNA from 1 species